UCUCCAGUCGGACCUCGGGGGCGCGCUCGGGCCGUGUCGCGCAAGUCAAGUCCAAUGCGACGAUUUGGCAGGAGGGACAAACGCAAGCUUUCCUCUUUUUUUUCCUCCACUCCUCUCUUUUUCUCCAAACCGGAUAUUUUUGGCAUCGUCAAAAAAGAAAAAAAAAUCCUCCACAUACUGUCCUCUCCAAGUUUAUUUUCAUGACAUUUCGCCUUGGACGGAUGGGAGCGCGGAGUUUCCAGCUCCUCACUUGCACCGCAGCGGACUAAAGGCUGAAUAACUGCAUUAUUCAUUUUUACGCACCGGGUUUUUCUGUUUGUCCGGACUCUUGUUUCUCUCUCGCUUUUUUUAUUUUGUUAACCGUCCGGGGAGCGGAGCGUCGAUAUCGCCAUCAUCAUUUUAAAAGAGAGAAAAAAAAUCCUCUCGUUGCAUGGAGACUGAAAUAAGCAUCUCCUCUGCCGCUGCCUGCACAUAAACUGCUCGUGGAAGAGAAAACAACAGUUUUUUUGUGUGUAUGUGUGUGUGCACAGAACUGGAUUUAAUGGAGAAUAAUACAGUGAUCCGGGGAAGCUGAUGGGAGCGUUUGGGCUGUUUUCGCCCUCUGAAGCAUUAUCCCUGUGCGCAACUUCGCUCGAAACAAACCAGUAUUUAUUCAUUGGAUCGUUGGGGGUUGCUGAGCCGAGCUGAAGCCAGACGCACACUCUUG